rnacentral:rRNA from 1 species
UACAGAGGGUGCAAGCGUUAAUCGGAAUUACUGGGCGUAAAGCGUGCGUAGACGGUUAUGUAAGUCGAGUGUGAAAGCCCCGGGCUCAACCUGGGAAUUGCAUUCGAGACUGCAUAGCUAGGGUUCGGAAGAGGGAAGCGGAAUUUCCGGUGUAGCGGUGAAAUGCGUAGAUAUCGGAAGGAACACCAGUGGCGAAAGCGGCUUCCUGGUCCAGAACCGACGUUCAGGCACGAAAGCGUGGGGAGCAAACAGG